GGUGGAGGUUGCGGUGAGCCGAGAUCACGCCAUUGCACUCCAGCCUGGGUGACAGAACGAGACUCCCAUCUCAAAAAAAUUUUUUUUUUUUAAAUAUACUGUAUACCCUACUAGAUUAUAAAGUUUUUAUGAGCAAAGCCUGUGUUUUAUUUUUGUAACCUCAAACACAGCUAUGCACCUUACACAUAACAGGCACAAAAUAAAUUUUUAUCCAUUUGGAUUACAGCAUGAAGUAUUCCUAUGUAUGUCUCCUGCAGAGAUUCUGUAAACAAGUGUGUAUUCUCUAUAGAUAUUGCAAUAAUUGUUUAGGUACUACCUUUUCAAACUGAAGUUUUACUUAGGCUUAUUUUUAAAGAUUAUGCUAAUUUUUAUUUUAAUGUUGUGUUUUUGUUGUUUGUACAAUUUUACUAGUGCCUAGUUCACAAUCCAAAUACAAAUCUAGGUGAUUUUUGAAUAAUAGAUGAUACUUGUUAAACUCUUACUAUAUCACUACUGUUCCAAGCACUGUGAGAUAUUUUCCCAUUUAGGCAUCUAACAGUUCUGUGAAAUUAAUACUGUGAAGCACAGGGAGAUUAAAUGACUUCUGACAGGACACAUAGCAAAUAAGUAAUGGAGCUGGGAUUCGCGCUCAAGAAAUAUGACUCCAUGGCCUCACUUAAGUUCACACACUGUGAUACUCUGGUUUCUCUUCAGAUCAUAUAAAUCUUUUGCCUUUUACUGAAGAUUUCCGUGGAGGGAACAGUCUUUACCCAAUUUUUUGAGGCCUCUUGUUUAAGGAUUUUUUUUUUUUAAGUUUACACGCUGUUUAAUUCAACCACUGUUCUGGGUUUUAUUUGUUUGUUUUUCAAGAAGGAAGUAUAAAAUCUUUAUGUUAUAAAUAGACCAUGUAAUUGUGAAAAAAUUUUAUUCCAUUGUAUGACUCCUUGAAAGAAUGAGGUGGAAGGAUAAAGUAAGAAAAGUAUAACUGAGAUGAGAAGUGAAAGCAAGAGAAAAGGAUUACAGAUGACAGAAUAAAGAGGGUGACUCAGUGACUUCGGGGUCAAAGUGUUGGUUCCUUUUUCACCUUGGUUGUACAAGUUUAUUCAACAAUAAUAUAUUGAACAUGUAUGUACUAGCUGCCAAGGACAUAAUGGUGAAGAGAAAGAAAAAAAGAUGACUUAUUUGCCCUUAUGUAUAAUAGCUUAUAUAAUUAUUUUAAGCUUCUAUUAUAUAACGUAGUUUGAAGAAGUAGUUUACAGUGAGGUCAGCUGCCAGUAAGGCAGGCUGGCUUCUCCCAAACCUAUCAAUUUUAGAAGAUUCACAAGAACACAGGAAUCCCCCUUUUCUGUCAUCCUUAAUUUGUCCACACCUAAUUCUGCUUUUGUGUUUGUUUUAAAGGGUUUUAUUGUUGUGUUUUGGGGGAUAAAGAUUACAGUGUAGUCUACACAUCUUAAGUGUAAGAUUUGAGAAUUCUUGAUUAAUGCAUACACUCUUAUAACCCACUUUUGGAGACUAUUCCCAUGGGUCUGUUGUGUUUCUGUUUGUCUUGUAAGCAGAGGCACUAUCUUUUAAAGGAUGCUUAUAUAGUAAACAGAAUCAGAAGACAGUUAGUGUCUCCCUCUGGAGCAAAAGACAAAUUCUGUUUAG
rnacentral:lncRNA from 10 species